rnacentral:lncRNA from 12 species
AACCUGGGGAAGGGUCUUGGUUCCCUGCAGAAGCCAACCCAUCAGAUCACGGCUGUGGGCCGUGGCCGGGACCACGCGGCCCCCCAGCACCCUCACCCCCCGUGGCCGGAUGCCCCGACACCUGCUUCUGGGAGCUCCCUGUGCCAGGCGAGCCCGAGUCCCCGCUCGGCCUGCUCGGCCUCCGGGAGCUGUGCCGCCGGCCUGGCCGUGGCUGCCCAUGGUCCUGGGCCCAGGGGACGCCGCAGACGAGGUCACAGGGUCCUGGCCCCCCCCCCAGUGUGGCCCCCGCCCCAGAGCGGGGAGCCUGCUGCCCCAGGUGCCCUGAGCACGAGCUGCCCUUGGUGGCCCGACGGGGGCGGCCCAAGCCUACGCAGGCUGCCGGCCUUGGCCAAGGACGUGGCCCGGGUGCCUGCAGCCGGUUGCAGAGGCCCCGGGCCUGUUCCUCCGCCUGCUGCCUGCGGGUCCCGGGCUGCGGGGAGGGGACGCUGGGGCCCACCUAGCUGCCCCGACGGCCUCCUUUAUGUCACCCCCCCACAUGGGGUGCAGCUUGUCCUCUCAGCCGGCGGCCCCCAGCGCCCGGCCCGUGGCCUCUGCGGGAGGCCUUCCACCAGGAGCCCCGAAGUCAGGGGUUCACAUCCCACCUCCUCUGCCCGCGGGAUCCCCCCGUACAGCAGGUGUUCCUGCCAUUUGGGAACAGCACAGCUGGAGGUGGCUGAGGACUGUCCUGAACCAGCGGUGUGUGGAGCCUGGGAACCGAAUCCCGGGGAGCCCGGGGACAGGGGGCUCUGCCCGGCUCCGGCUCCCCUCGGCCGCGCUCCCAGGCCAGGGUCGGCUUUGCCACGCAGCUCACCCGCAUCGCCGGGGGCCCUGGGGAACAAAUUCCGUGGAAUCCGCGUGACCACGAGUGUGUUCGAAGUCAGCGUCGUUCCCCCCAGGAAUGAGGCGCUGAGGCCUUCCCCGAGGACGGACCGUGCGCCCAGGAGCUCGCAAGCCGCUCGCGUUCCUGCUCCUCGACUCUAA